GUGCUUCCUUUGGCAGCACAUAUCCUAAAAUUGGAACAAUACAGAGAAAAUUUGCAUGGCCCCUGCAUAAGGAUGACACAUAAAUUUUGAAAGUGCUACAUAUCUUG
ensembl:snRNA U6 U6 spliceosomal RNA